UCUCCAUUUGCUUCUCCUUAUCCUGGCAGCUGAAUGAGAGACAAGGAGAAGGAGAACAAUCAACCGGAAGCCAAAGUCGAACCUCCGAUCCUGGGUUGCUUGCUUGGAAGUUUGACUGCUUACCUUGUCUGUCACCUCUUUCGGCAGAUCUCCUAGCUCGGCGACUUGGGGGACUCCUACUAUAGGGUUUGUAUCGCACUUGACCAAGCCCGAAAUUACAAGUAAGCUUCAAGUGAAAUUGAUACAUUACCUUGUGCAUCUUCAUCGGUUAAAGAUACCACCCAUGGAUGGAGGAAAAGUACUUCCAGAGAAUAUGCCACAUCUACAUAUGAGACAGAUAAGGCACGUGAAAAUGAUACCACACUUCAGUACUUAGAAGUUUCGUGAUUACUCAAUGGCUUGGAUCUUGCAAGUCCCCAACCGAGAAGCUUCCCUCACUCGGGAACUUAGGGGAGCACUGUUUGUACCAUACUUGACCAAUCCCGAAACUACUGAGCACCGGUCAACGUUAUACCGUCAAGGACCCAGAAGAGCUUCCCUUCAACCAGGAGGCCAAUCACAAUGCAACACGUGUCGACAUCAGAAGCCAAUCACAGAUCGACACGUGUCAACAUCAGAAGCCAAUCACAACACGACACAUGUCAAUGUUAGAACAAAACUAGAAACUCUCUUCUAUAAAUAAGGAUCAUUCUCCCACAAUAAUCUCUAAUGUCAUUUUGUACUAAACUAUUCACUAGAACUCACAAAAUGAGAGCUUGAACCUAUGUAUUUGUGUAAACUCUUCACAAUUAAUGAGAACUCCUCUACUCCGUGGACGUAGCUGAUCUGGGUGAACCACGUACAUCUUGUGUUUGCUUCCCUGUCCCUAUUCAUUUACGUACUUAUCUUCACCAGUGAUCGAAGCAACCAAGCGAAGGUCACAAACCUGACACUUUCUGUUGUACCAAAGUCCUCGCUGAUUUUGUGCAUCAACAACAAUAAUUUAGUAGAUGGGAGUUUAAAAUCUGGGACUCAUGGGUGGAAACCCAACAUCCUAUCCAUUACGAUAUUUGACCACAUGCACCUUAUAAUAUCAAUUCUUUUUUUAUACUGAAAACCUAUAUUUAGAUCUAUUUGGACAUAAUCAGCCUUUUCAACAAGUAGCUUCACAAAUGGUCUAGAAAUUGAUAUAAUAACAUUUAAUUAGACUUGUGGGAUUGAAUUAUGUGACACAUCAGCAUUUAACAAAAUUGUUACGGAAUGACCAUAUUGAUUAGCGACAUUCAUUUUUAGGGACCAUAUAGAUAGACUUUCAAUUUCAGAGAUCACCAUGAUGAGGUGAGUCAAUUUCAAGGACAAUUUUAAUAAAAUCUCUUUAUUUUUUAGUUUUUUGCUAUAAAUUAAUUUCCUCUAUUGUAAUUUAUCCUACAACUAUUUAGUACUGGUUUGGUACUGAGGUGAUUUUAUAAAAAAUUGGUAUAAAAAGCUAAGCUCAAAAAAUUGUUUGGUAAACACUUAAAAACAGCUUAUUUUCAUAGUUUUGGGUGAAAAAAAAGUUAGAAAUGUGAAGCAGCAAAAAUGAGCAUAUUCUCACAGUACAGCAGAAGCAGUUGUUUUCAAAGCACAGCAAUACCAAACCAGCCCUUAGUGUAAUUUGGCUCCGUUGCUCAUAAAUUGGCACAAUCUAUCCUCUAUUGUGUUCGAUAAAUAAUAAGGUAAUAUACAAUAGGUUCAUCAAAUUAUAAGAAAAGAGAUUCAAACUUGAGUGUAGAGAAUGAAAUAAAUUACUCUAGCCAACUUACUGUUGAACAUACAUCGGUCAUAGAAAGAGAGAACUAAUAGUCUAAAUAUCUUAACCACACUCUAACUAAUACUGAGGCUUUUUGUGGUAAAACCCUACACUUGUCAAACUGCGCAUGUGGUAAUUAACAAGUUAGGAACAAUAUUAGUGUUGUUGGAAGUGCGCAUUUGGCCUGUCUCUAUGAUAAUUAUGGUAUUAAAGCCAAGGAGUGGGCCCAUACUGCCACAUGAUGGGUGGGUCCUCUUGUCCCCGUGCAAUG
rnacentral:lncRNA from 1 species